AGAGUGGACUACAAGAUGGUGUUCAAAAGUCUCAAACAACUCUACCUUACAGGUCUUCCAAACCUAAGUGGUUUCUGCACAGGAGGAGACGACUUUCCUUUUGAAUGGCCAUCCUUGGAACAACUUAGAGUGAGAGAGUGCCCCAAAAUGAAGACUUUCGCUGCCACUACUUCCGGCAGCACACCAAAACUGAAGGAAGUUGAAUUGGAUGGAUCGGGGAUACCGCUACAGGGGAUGGACUUGAAUCAGUUUGUGCAAACCCAUACCCAUAUCAUUUCAAACCCACCUAACUAAGGCAAGACAUACUGACGCUCCUGAAAAUGAAAUCUAAUUGUGAACCAAAUUAUGAAUUUAUGAGGAAUAACUCUCAUGAUUGUCAACCAUAAAGAAUGUUAAGCUACUCCCCAUGGUUAUGUGAUGUCUACCUUAGGAUUUUAUUGCGUAAGGGCAUACGCUUCCUAUGAUUUGUGUUUCUAAAUAAUUGUCUUGCUUUGCAAUAUCAAAACUACUACUCUAAACAAAGGUAUAUUUACCUAAUGUGUGCUGAAGAUUUGAAGAGUGAAUAAAGGGGAAAAAAGAGUACCCAACAUCUGUAAUUUUACUUUCUCUGCAUUGUAAUGGAGGUUGUAUCCAAAAUUAUUUGUCUCAAUUAACAAUAUUAUAUAUUUGUUUUCAUGCU